GAGAUGGCUAAGUGGUAUAGAGCACUGACUGUUCUUCCAGAGGUCCUGAGUUCAAUUCCCAGCAACACA
rnacentral:tRNA from 1 species